UACGUAGGUGGCAAGCGUUGUCCGGAAUUAUUGGGCGUAAAGCGCGCGCAGGCGGUCCCUUAAGUCUGAUGUGAAAGCCCACGGCUCAACCGUGGAGGGUCAUUGGAAACUGGGGGACUUGAGUGCAGAAGAGGAAAGUGGAAUUCCAUGUGUAGCGGUGAAAUGCGUAGAGAUGUGGAGGAACACCAGUGGUGAAGGCGACUUUCUGGUCUGUAACUGACGCUGAGGCGCGAAAGCGUGGGGAGCAAACAGG
rnacentral:rRNA from 1 species